rnacentral:ncRNA from 1 species
AAACUUGAGAGUUUGAUCCUGGCUCAGAACGAACGCUGGCGGCAGGCUUAACACAUGCAAGUCGAACGCCCCGCAAGGGGAGUGGCAG